UGAUAGUGAGUAUGACAACUACCGCGGAUGUAUGACAAGUGAUUGUGAAUCUGAGAUGAACGGUGAGGAUGGGGAGGUGGAGAGGAUGGAGGGCGGUGUUGAAGACAUUAACAUGGAGAAUAUCCGUCAGCUCAGUCAGAAUAUCACAAACAAAUUCGGGAACAGAUCUGAAACGGAAAACGGAGAAACGUAACAGAGAAGCAUAAAAUAAAAUUUGACAAACAUCUUAAAGUCUUGAAACCAACUAAUUAUCUAUCUAUCUAUCUUUGGCAAUAGACAAUAGACAAAACAUGGAUAGCAAUAUUGUUAAAAGACGACAAUUUAAACGUCUUUCUUGCCACUCUAAAGAAAAGGGCCGAAACAAGAAAAUAAGAAAUUAGAAUUUUAAAAUAUUAGUUUAUCAAAUAUCUGUAAAUGUUGAAUAACCACAGAGAGCUAAAUUGUAAAAAGGUUGGGGUUCAAGGGGGGGGAAAUGAUCAACAACGCCCCCCCCCCUCUCCCAGCCGUUCUUCCGAGAUGAAAUUAUUAUGCAAACUCCUCUGAUAUUAGUCCUUUUCUUAAGAAAUUUAAUUUCUAGAUUCAUUUUUACAGUUUUAUAAAAAAUAUUGUUAAGUUAUAUAUAAUGACGACAUCUGUCUCCCCUGAUGCAAGAAACCGGUCUAAAAUACAUAUUGUGAAUAUAAUCAUAAACUUUAUAAUAAAUAAAUGAUUAUUUAUA